rnacentral:rRNA from 1 species
CCUACGGGUGGCAGCAGUGAGGAAUAUUGGUCAAUGGGCGCGAGCCUGAACCAGCCAAGUAGCGUGCAGGAUGACUGCCCUACGGGUUGUAAACUUCUUUUAUAAAGGAAUAAAGUGAGGCACGUGUGCCUUUUUGUAUGUACUUUAUGAAUAAGGAUCGGCUAACUCCGUGCCAGCAGCCGCGGUAAUACGGAGGAUCCGAGCGUUAUCCGGAUUUAUUGGGUUUAAAGGGUGCGUAGAUGGUUUGUUAAGUCAGUGGUGAAAGUUUGCGGCUCAACCGUAAAAUUGCAUGUGAUACUGGUGGACUAGAGUACAGUUGAGGUAGGCGGAAUGCGUGGUGUAGCGGUGAAAUGCUUAGAUAUCACGAAGAACUCCGAUUGCGAAGGCAGCUUACUAAACUAUCACUGACAUUGAUGCACGAAAGCGUGGGUAUCAAACAGGAUUAGAUACCCUUGUAGUC